UACGUAGGGGGCUAGCGUUGUCCGGAAUCAUUGGGCGUAAAGAGCGCGUAGGCGGCCAGAUAAGUCCGGUGUGAAAGUCACAGGCUCAACCUGUGAAUGCCGCUGGAAACUGUCUGGCUAGAGUACGGGAGGGGCGAGUGGAAUUCCUGGUGUAGCGGUGAAAUGCGUAGAUAUCAGGAGGAACACCAAUGGCGAAGGCAGCUCGCUGGGACGGUACUGACGCUGAGACGCGAAAGCGUGGGGAGCAAACAGG
rnacentral:rRNA from 1 species